rnacentral:rRNA from 1 species
CCUACGGUCGACAGCAGUGAGGAAUAUUGGUCAAUGGGCGCGAGCCUGAACCAGCCAAGUAGCGUGAAGGAUGACUGCCCUACGGGUUGUAAACUUCUUUUAUAAAGGAAUAAAGUGAGGCACGUGUGGCUCAUUGAGAGUACCCGAAGAAAACGCAUCGGCUAACUCCGUGCCAGCAGCCGCGGUAAUACGGAGGAUGCGAGCGUUAUCCGGAUUUGUUGGGUUAAAAGGGUGCGCAGGCGGAGGUGCAAGUCAGUGGUCAAAUUGCGGGGCUCAACCCCGUACUGCCGUUGAAACUGCAGCCCUUGAGUGCGCGAGAAGUAUGCGGAAUGCGUGGUGUAGCGGUGAAAUGCAUAGAUAUCACGCAGAACUCCGAUUGCGAAGGCAGCAUACCGGCGCGCAACUGACGCUCAUGCACGAAAGCGUGGGUAUCGAACAGGAUUAGAUACCCGAGUAGUC